rnacentral:rRNA from 1 species
AUUAAACGCUGGCGGCAUGCCUUACACAUGCAAGUCGAACGGCAGCACGGGGGGAACCCUGGUGGCGAGUGGCGAACGGGUGAGUAAAGCAUCGGAACGUGCCCUGGAGUGGGGGAUAACGUAGCGAAAGUUACGCUAAUACCGCAUAUUCUGUGAGCAGGAAAGCAGGGGAUCGCAAGACCUUGCGCUCUGGGAGCGGCCGAUGUCGGAUUAGCUAGUUGGUGGGGUAAAGGCCUACCAAGGCGACGAUCCGUAGCGGGUCUGAGAGGAUGAUCCGCCACACUGGGACUGAGACACGGCCCAGACUCCUACGGGAGGCAGCAGUGGGGAAUUUUGGACAAUGGGCGAAAGCCUGAUCCAGCCAUGCCGCGUGAGUGAAG